GCCGUCGCGGGGGAAAGCAACAGCUCCGUCGCCAGCGCCCGGGGGCGAGCCCCGCGCAGGUUGGCCCGGGGGGAGCCCGGGGGGACACACAGCCGCCCUGCCACUGCCCCAGACUUAGCCGCCCGGUCCCUGGCACCCUCUGGCUCUGGAGCAGAGAGGCUUAUCAAUUCCCCCCAGGGUUAGUAAUUGGGACUUCCGCGUUGAGGAAGGGGGAAAACCGAGCCUUCCCCUCGCUAACCUCACUGAGAACAACAUAAACAAAGGCAGGCAUUUCGUUUGGAGAAGCAAAAUGCAUUCGUUACGCCUUCCCAUGUAUUUCGACCGGAUUAGAGAGGGUAAAACCGCUCUGAAUUUGGAACCUCUGCUGCAGGACGGUUCUGCAAAGGAGAAGCGUGGCCAAGAGGUGGGGAGACUGUUACCCAUAGCUAAGCUAAACAAAGGGAGGAGAAAAAAGUUACAUCUCUUCUUUGGAGGAAUAUAAACAGAACUGGGACGCCUCGAUAGCCUAGCUUUUACAUACACAGAUGGUGUGCAAAGGGAACUGUUUAACUCACUACUGCUUCUCCAAAAGGUCAAGUUCUAUUGUAUCUAAAUUGUUGUCGUUUUGUACCGGGCUUUGCUUGGAAAAUAUUUGAAGCCGACCAUUUACCUUGCCAGUAGGGUGGGUACCUCUAAUUAACAGGAGGAACGUGUGCUAGAAGGAAUUUGCGCCAAGAGGAGCUAAUUAAAAUAUUACAGGAUCGCUGGCUCCAAUCUCUGCUGUUCUCUCGCACAGGGAGGGUGAGGGGUAUUAUGACUCGAGCAGGAGAAAAUAUCUAAGGAGUUAGGACAGUGUUUUGUAAAGCUGAGGGUUGAUUACAGUCUACAAAGCCUUAUUAGAAAAGUAUAGCAUUAGGGAAUUUGAAAUGUUGCUGCCAAAAUGCUCACUGUCUUUCCACCUUUACCAAUGCAAAUAGGGGCACAAGGCGAUAAUUCGUCGCAAAAUUUGCCAGGAAUGCAGCUUCAGAAAAACCUGCUGAUUAUUUGUAUUUUAAAUAUCUCGGGCUUAGAAGUUCUUAAAAGGCAUUUAUUUUCUCUUUGCGGUUCUGUCUGUUAUGGAAAGAAGCUAUACGUAUACUUUUUUCCCCCCCUAACUAAAUAUGUCUCCGUAAGAUUGCAAUAGAAUGAAGUGCUUCAAUAGCUAGCUAAAUAAUUUAAAUAAUAUGUGAAUUCUUAUAUGUAUUUGUAUAUGUGCAUAUAUUUAUGAGAUGGAAGCCCCGUACUGUGACAUAGCUAUUUAUUUUCCAAAAUGUGAGGCGGCGUGGUUGUGAUUUUGCUAGAAAACUGCAGAAUAUGUGUAAAGAGAACAAACAGAUGUAAACAGGAUUCAGUAUAAUUUUACCUUUUUUUUUUUUUUUUUUUUUUUUUUUUAACCACAUUGCAUUAUUUCAGAGGCUUGAACACCUCAAAAUACUGUACUCUUCUGGGCUAGAAUAUUUCAGAUUAAUUUUUAAUAGAAGAUAGCAAAAGCCUUUACUUUUCUCCGUCACCCCCUGUAUCUUUUUAAGUUGCUGAAAUGAAGAGGGCGAUUGUUUUGGGUUUUUUUUCCAACCAAGCCUCCCGUCUAGUUUUAAUUUUAGGAUUAAACGACUACGGACCUACACAGAGACACUCCUUGUUGGCGAACAAUCAUGAUGUUUUCCAUCCCUUUGAGCUGAUGAACAUCUGAGGUCUCUCUGAUGACUGCAAGUAGCUGAAAUAUUGCGGGCUUUUAUUUUUUUCAGGAGAGGAAGUUACUUCUAGAUAGAAAACUUUAUGUUUCGGCAGCUAUUAUCUUGCUCACCAGCAGAAAAACGAUUUGCUGUUCUGACAGUCUCUCGGCGCCUUCCCAACGCGCGGGGCGUCUCUCGCAAUGUUGUGUCUCCUCACCCCUCGGUUGCCCAGCCCAGAGCUCCAGGGUCCCGGGGCUCUGAACACCUCUAAAAUGUUUGCAUUUACUGCUGGGAGCCUAGUCCUGAAAAACAAUGCUGUCGGGCUUGGCAAUAAGACGGACGCAAGAAGGGGUUUUCUCAGACCAACUAGUAUAUCAGAAAUUAAAUGACUGACGGUGAUUCUAUAAAUGUCUCUUUUUCUCCACUCUCGGAGGCUUUCCCAGCACAAGAAAACAUACAUGCAGUCACUUAUUUUUCCCUACGUCUAUCCAGAUACAGGUGCAAGAGACUUCCCAGCAAACUUAGUUGGCGGGAGGGGGGUGUCUAGAGCCAGCGGCGGGCUCUAAACUGGUGCGAAAGCAAAUUUCCUUGGUUAAAAUGCGCCGGUACAGAAGAUCAGGCACUUUCCACCCACUCCCACCCAGACCCACAAAGCGCCGUGUUGUUAGCACCGUUUGUAGUAAGCAGGUACCAGUCCCCUUUCGUGUCAAUGCAUUUUAUGAAGAAUUAAACAGAGCGGUUUAGGGAAACAUCCCCAGUGAUCCCUUGAAAGUGAGGUGCUAGUAGUCGACAGUUAUCCCUGCGGACGGCCAUAUCCCAGGCGAUGUUCCCAUGCAAAGUUAACCCUCAACCGAGAGUCUGCUUUACUCUACGCAUU